UCCCUGGGUCAAGACCAAGAAUGGGCGCGCGACCGAAAGACCACGGGAUGGGGAAUAGGGCCGAGGCCGUGCGCGGUGCCGAUCAUCGACGGGGACAGCCGAGUGGCGGCGGGCAGCGACGAGGGAGGAUGGAAAGGGCGGAGACUGAGCGGAAACAGCCGAAGCUGAGCCGAUGUCGAGCGAUGGUGGCCGAAAACUGACGGAAGAAUCCGAAGGCCCAAGGGAGGGCUCGAGGGCCACUCGGCGCAUAGACCCAGUCGGGGAGCCGAGGCUGAGGAUCUAGCGGCGGUGACGGAAUGGGAGCGAGCGGGCCGCGCCCGAGAGCAGCAGCAGGCCCAGACACGCGGGACACCGAGGACGGUGGGACACCGGGGACGGCGGGACACCGGGGACGGCGGGACACCGGGGACGGAGCAGCUGUUGUGAAGCCCAACGUCCACAGGAUGGAAAGUAUGGUGUUACCGUACCCUGAUACACGACCCCGUGCUGCGCAGGGAAGUGUCCCCGAGGCCACGGCCAAGCCCCUCGUGGCACCCGGGCACCCGGAGAACCUUGCAGACCACAGAGACAAGGCUGGAUCGCAGCUGCCCGAGCCUGGGGGUCGGGAGGGCACACAGGGUCCCAGCACAGCAAGAAAGGCAGGCUUGGGGGGGCUGCUCAGAAGCACGUGCUCAGCUUCCCCUGCAGAGACCGGCCGCCCGUCCACCUGUCUCGUUCGGGUCACGUCCGGGGCUUCCUGCUCCCGGGGGGGGCAGCUGCAGGCCAGAAAAUACUGCACUCUUGGCUGAAGCAGCAAAGUACGCGACCGUGCACCCAGCUUGACGUCUGGCCCCCUUUGUUGUACUGUGAUCUGUACAGCAAGGGUUCUAGGAAGCUGACGAGGAUGCUAGAAAAUCCUGGGAGGAUAGGUUGGGCCAGGCGUCCCACAGGUGAAAGGCAGGUGAGGAUCACGGCCCUGUCCCCAGCACUCACCCCCACGUGUCAACUGUUUCUUCUGCCAGUCACACGAUGACCGCGUACCAACCACUUUACCCUCUUCCCACAUCCUGCCACUAACCAGGGUCCCGAGUCCCGAGUCCCCUGUGCUCAGGAGACCCUGGGGGGGGGGCACCUUAUCCCCUCCUAGAACAUACCCCGUCCACUGGCUGAGGCACAGAUACCGUGACCGCCGCCCUCAGUGUCCAGGACCGCGCAGACGCAGCAGGGAUUCACAGGAGGUAAGGGAAGCGCCUGCUUACUCUCCCACCCCUGCGUGGUCUGUUGACUGUGGGCUGCAGACACCCACCUUCUCAGGGGACGCUGUGGCACAGAGCAGGACACAGGUUAAUUAAUUGCAGAGUUUGUUAUUUCUUCUAAAUGUUUGUUUUGUUUUGGAAGAGAGAGACACAUGGGUUCAGGGUGGUGGAGAACCAAGCAGGCUCUGUGCUGUCACCUUAGACUCCGUCAUGGGACUCGAAACCACAGACUAGGAGAUCAUGACCUGAGUUGACAUCCAGAGUCAGACGCCUGCCGACUGAGCCCCCCAGGCCCCGAGUUUGGAUUCCUAAAGCCAGGCCAGAGUUCCUUGUCCCCUCCCCAGCGUCACACACACUCUCUCCCAACAGGAAGGCCCCUUAUGGGGAACUGUUGUGGGAGAGCCCCGAGUCCCCAUCCUGAAUGUGCUCCCUGGGGAGCCGAGCUCCGCUGGUGCACGUGCCUCUCGCACUGGAGGAGUCUGGAACAGUCGUGAGCAGGUCACCCUGCAAGGUGGGACUGGCUGUGCCGGCGCUGGAGGCUGUGUCCCUCUCGUGUACGACCAGCAGGACGCUUGGGCCUGUAGGGUGUUUAGCAGGGAUUGCGCCCAGGCCACACGCCCAGAGUAAAGACCUGGGAACGCUGUAGGGGACACAGCUUCAGGCCACGGACGGGACAGACUCCCAUGGCACCACGUGGGCACUCACCACCUAGACACGGACGCACCGUUUCCGGUCUGCGUCUCCACAGCACUGCACUGGGCCAGCUCAGAGGCCUCACGAGUUCACAUUAACUUCGUCUCCUUAUUGCUAGUUCUAGACCAUGAGUUAAAGCUGGAUUCAAAUGCUCUUUACCCAAAAAAUUACAAAAAGAAAACGUUCACCAUAUGCACUUGAGGCAUCACGGUGGCGGCUACUAGAGCUUUCCUGCUCGGCUGGGAACACGGCCAGCGCAGGGCAGUGUCAGAGGGGCAGCUCCGUGUGCAGGGUCAGGUACAGCAGCAGGACGCCCCCUUCUGGGGCAUCCGAGGCUGAGGGAGACGGAGACAUUGGAGCACAGAGAGGGAGCCCACACCACACGUGCCGGUCUGCACUGUUUUUUUGUUUUGUUUUGGUUUAACAUUUAUUUAUCAUUGAGAGACAGACACAGAGCAUGAGCCGGAGAGGGGCAGGGAGAGAGGGAGACACAGAAUCCGAAGCAGGCUCCAGGCUCCAAACUGUCAGCACAGAGCCCCACGCGGAGCUCAAACUCACAAACUGGGAGAUCAUGACCUGAGCCGAAGUCGGUCGCCUAACCAACUGAGCCACCCAGGCGCCCCGAACUCACCGUCUGUUUUAAUGCACUUGCACUCAGCCUCACCAAGUGGACUCUGACCAGCAACUAAGGCACCAUUUGGACAGCAGGUUUCAAACCCGUCCCUUACUAGAGACAGCACUGCAGCGAAGGGGUGGGUGCUCCGUGGGAGGUCCCGUCCUAGGGAGGCGGAUGACACACGGACUCAUCAGCCUCCCCAGGACAGCGAGCCUUCUGCGAAGCAGACGGGGGAACGAUGUCAGAGCUCCACACUGGGCCACCUGUCUGGAGUAGGUGGGUCACCUUCUAGAAGGACCGCCACGCAUUAUGCCAAGACUUGUCUCCGACUCCGCUUCAGCCUGCCCUUUGUGGACAUGGUGCAGAGCCACUCGAGUGCCCUACACAGAUCAGUGGAGAUGGACAGAGAAUCUGGGACUGACCCACACUUACAGGAUCAACUCCUGUUUGACGAAGGCUCCAGGACAGUCCGAUGUGGGAAAACAUGGUCCUUUCAACAGAAAGUGAUGGGGAAAGUGGACAUCCAUAUGGCCAAAAAAAUAACGUUGAUCCUUGCUUCACACGGUGCACGACAUAAAUUCCAAAUGGGUUACGUACAUAAUCAUAGAAUCAAACAUGUAGGAGAAACAUGGGAUAAAACAUGCCCUGUGUGUGUCCGGAUGUGCACGCAGUGGAGACGCAUACUUCACAACUUAAUAUGGAAUAUACACAGAACUGUUUCCACAAGAACACAAACAAGUCCCCAAGAUGAUGGGAAGACACUUCCCAAAAAAUACACGGUUGCCCAGUAAGCACACAGAAAUGCUCAACGUAUUAGUCGCCGGAGAAAUCUAAAUUAAAACCACGAGAUCCUGGGGCGCCUGGGUGGUGCAGUCGGUUAAGCGUCCGACUUCAGCCAGGUCACGAUCUCGCGGUCUGUGAGUUCGAGCCCCGCGUCGGGCUCUGGGCUGAUGGCUCGGAGCCUGGAGCGUUUCCGAUUCUGUGUCUCCCUCUCUCUCUGCCCCUCCCCCGUUCAUGCUCUGUCUCUCUCUGUCCCAAAAAUAAAUAAAAACGUUGAAAAAAAAUUAAAAAAAAAAAAAACCACGAGAUCCCACUAAACACCCACGUGAAUGACUACAGUGAAAAAGACAGACGUGCCACAUGGCGAGGCUUUGGAGCAGUGGGGACUCUCCUACGCUGCUCACGGGAGCGGUGCUCACACUUUGCAAAACUACUUUCAUCAGUUUCUUUUAAAAGUUAAAAUACAGGGGGCGCCCGGAUGGCCCAGUUGGUUAAGUGUCUGACUCUUUGUUUCGAUUCGGGUCCUGAUUCGUGAUUUGUGAGAUCGAGCCCCACGUCGAGCUCUACGCUGACAGCACAGGGCCUACUUGGGAUUCUGGCUCUGCCCCUCCCCUGCUCGUGCAUGCACAGACGCACGCGUGCCCUCUCUCUCUCAUAAAAAAAUGAAAGUUAAAAAAGGAAAUGAACUCGCAAUCCUACUUUUAGGGUUGCCAAAACAAAUGAAAUAUAUGUGCACACACAUGUGUACGUCAAUGUUUACAGCAGUUUUAUUCAUAAUAGCCAAACUUGGAAAAAAACCACAAACAUCAACUAAUAUAUCUCUACAGUGUAAUAUUACACAUCUAUUAAAAAUGGACUUCUGACACACAUAA